rnacentral:rRNA from 1 species
UACGUAGGGGGCGAGCGUUGUCCGGAAUCAUUGGGCGUAAAGAGCGUGUAGGCGGCCAGACAGGUCCGCUGUGAAAACUCGAGGCUCAACCUCGAGAUGUCGGUGGAAACCGUCUGGCUAGAGUCCGGAAGAGGAGAGUGGAAUUCCCGGUGUAGCGGUGAAAUGCGCAGAUAUCGGGAAGAACACCCGUGGCGAAGGCGGCUCUCUGGGACGGUACUGACGCUGAGACGCGAAAGCGUGGGGAGCGAACAGG